GACGAACGCUGGCGGCGUGCUCAACACAUGCAAGUCGAGCGGAGCGGCGUACGGGUGAGUAACGCGUGAGCAACUGCCUCCCUCUCUGGGAUAACAGUUGGAAACGGCUGCUAAUACCGGACAGUGGGGGAUGACUCGGGUCCUAUCAGCUUGUUGGUGGGGUAGUGGCCUACCAAGGCGACGACGGCUAGCCGGCCUGAGAGGGCGACCGGCCACAUUGGGCUGAGGUACUGCCCAAACUCCUACGGGAGGCAGCAGUGGAGAAUGUUGCACAAUGGGGGAAAGCCUGAUGCAGCAACGCCGCGUGGGGGAUGGCGGCCUUCGGGUUGUAAACCGCUUUCGGCCGUGACGCGGUAGUGGCAGAAGAAGCACCGGCUAACUACGUGCCAGCAGCCGCGGUAAUAC
rnacentral:rRNA from 1 species